rnacentral:rRNA from 1 species
AGCGUAUAUUAAAGUUGUUGCGGUUAAAACGUUCGUAGUUGAAUUUGUGCUUCUACGGGUAGUACAAUUACAAUUGUAGUUUGUACUAUACCUUAAGUAUGCAACCGUAUUACCGGUGGAGUUCUUAUAUAUAAUUAAUGCUUGCAUUUUUUAUAUAUUCCUCCAAUUUAAACCUGCUUCAGUGCUCUUCAUCUAGUGCUGUGGUGGGCGGGUGCACUUACCCUGAAAAAAUUAGAGUGCGUAAAACAGGCGCUAAAUGUCCGAAUAUUUUGUGGAUGGGAUAAAGAAACAAGACCUCUGUGUUCUUUCUUGGGUUUAUAGAUAAAAAGGGGAUGAGAAAAAUAAGCUGUUUGGGGGCGUUAGUAUUACGACGCGAGAGGUGAAAUUCUUGCACUGUCGUAAGACUAAUUUAAGAGAACGCAUUCGCCAGAGAUGUUUUCAUUAAUCAAGAACGAAAGUGAGAGGUUCGAAGGAGAUCAGAUACCGCCAUAGUUCUCACCAUAAACGAUGCCAGCCAGCAAUUGGGUGUAGAUAAUAAUAUGGCUCUCUCAGUCGCUUCCCGGGAAACCAAAGCUUUUGGGCUCCGGGGGAAGUAUGGUUGCAAAGCUGAAACUUAAAGGAAUUGACGGAAGGGCACCCCCAGGAGUGGCGCCUGCGGUUUAAUUUGACUCAACACGGGAAAACUUACCAGGUCCGAACAUAAGCGUGUAAGACAGAUUGAUAGCUUUUUCUCGAAUAUAUGGGGGGUGGUGCAUGGCCGUUUUUAGUUUGUGGAGUGAUUUGUGUGGUUAAUUCCGAUAACGAACGAGACUCAAAUAUAUUAAAUAGAUGCUUUCAGGAUUAUGGUAUUGAAGCUUGUAUAGCCUUCAUUCAUGAUGGCAGUAAAACGUUGGAUUGUUUGAAUGCGCUUAUAUGAGUGGAGCCGUACCUGGUGGUUUGUCCCAUUAUAAGGACACUAGCUUAUUAAAUGGACAAAGUG